rnacentral:rRNA from 1 species
CAGUCGCCGCGGUAAUACGGAGGGUGCAAGCGUUAAUCGGAAUUACUGGGCGUAAAGCGCACGCAGGCGGUCUGACAAGUCAGAUGUGAAAUCCCUGGGCUUAACCUGGGAACUGCAUUUGAAACUGUCAGGCUGGAGUCUUGUAGAGGGGGGUGGAAUUCCAGGUGUAGCGGUGAAAUGCGUAGAGAUCUGGAGGAAUACCGGUGGCGAAGGCGGCCCCCUGGACAAAGACUGACGCUCAGGUGCGAAAGCGUGGGGAGCAAACAGGAUUAGAGACCCGUGUAGUCCCUGUCUCUUAUAC